rnacentral:rRNA from 1 species
CAAGUCGAACGGCAGCGGGGGCUUCGGCCUGCCGGCGAGUGGCGAACGGGUGAGUAAUGCAUCGGAACGUACCCAGUCGUGGGGGAUAACUACGCGAAAGCGUAGCUAAUACCGCAUACGCCCUGAGGGGGAAAGCGGGGGACCUUCGGGCCUCGCGCGAUUGGAGCGGCUGAUGUCGGAUUAGCUAGUUGGUGGGGUAAAGGCCUACCAAGGCGACGAUCCGUAGCUGGUCUGAGAGGAUGAUCAGCCACACUGGGACUGAGACACGGCCCAGACUCCUACGGGAGGCAGCAGUGGGGAAUUUUGGACAAUGGGCGCAAGCCUGAUCCAGCAAUGCCGCGUGCAGGAUGAAGGCCUUCGGGUUGUAAACUGCUUUUGUACGGAACGAAAAGACUCCUUCUAAUAAAGGGGGUUCAUGACGGUACCGUAAGAAUAAGCACCGGCUAACUACGUGCCAGCAGCCGCGGUAAU